rnacentral:tRNA from 1 species
UAAAUGGCUGGAUGGUAGGGAAAGCACAGAUCUUCUUUGUUAUAGGAGAAAUAUAGAAUCAUUUCCUAUUUAUUUGCCC